GGAGUUUGGACCGUGUCUCAGUUCCAAUGUGGGGGACCUUCCUCUCAGAACCCCUACCGAUCGAGGGCUUGGUGGGCCGUUACCCCGCCAACAACCUAAUCGGACGCAUCCCCAUCCCUUAGCGAUAAAUCUUUGGUUCACUUCAGAUGUCCUCGACGAACAACAUAGGGUAUUAAUCCGACUUUCGCCGGGCUAUGCCCUACUAAGGGGAAGGUUGGAUACGCGUUACUCACCCGUGCGCCGGUCGCCAUCUAUCAAAGCAAGCUUCGAUAAUGCUGCCCCUCGACUUGCAUGUGUUAAGCCUGUAGCUAGCGUUCAUC
rnacentral:rRNA from 1 species